UACAGAGGGUGCGAGCGUUACUCGGAAUUACUGGGCGUAAAGCGCACGUAGGUGGCGACGUAAGUCGGGUGUGAAAGCCCCGGGCUCAACCUGGGAAUUGCAUUCGAGACUGCAUUGCUGGAGUACGGAAGAGGAAGGCGGAAUUCCCGGUGUAGCGGUGAAAUGCGUAGAUAUCGGGAGGAACAUCAGUGGCGAAGGCGGCCUUCUGGUCCAGUACUGACACUCAAGUGCGAAAGCGUGGGGAGCAAACAGG
rnacentral:rRNA from 1 species